UUUCCGGUUGAUCCCGCCGGACCUGACUGCUAUCGGAUUGAUACUAAGCCAUGCUAGUCUUUGUAGUAAUACAAGGCAUACGGCUCAGUAACGCGUAGUCAACCUACCCUAUGGACGGGGAUAAUCUCGGGAAACUGAGCAUAAUACCCGACAGACCACUUCUCCUGGAAUGGUUAGUGGUUAAAAUGAUUCGUCGCCAUAGGAUGGGACUGCGGCCUAUCAGCUUGUUGGUGAGGUAAUGGCCCACCAAGGCGAUUACAGGUACGGGCUCUGAGAGGAGAGGCCCGGAGAUGGGUACUGAGACAAGGACCCAGGCCCUAUGGGGCGCAGCAGGCGAGAAAACUUUGCAAUGUGCGAAAGCACGACAAGGUUAAUCCGAGUGAUUUCUGCUAAAGGAAUCUUUUGUUAGUUCUAAAAAUACUAGUGAAUAAGGGGUGGGCAAGUUCUGGUGUCAGCCGCCGCGGUAAAACCAGCACCCCAAGUGGUCAGGAGGAUUAUUGGGCCUAAAGCAUCCGUAGCCUGUUCUAUAAGUUUGCGGUUAAAUCUAUACGCUCAACGUAUAGGCUGCCGUAAAUACUGUAGAACUAGGGAGUGGGAGAGGUAGACGGUACUCGAUAGGAAGGGGUAAAAUCCUUUGAUCUAUUGAUGACCACCUGUGGCGAGGGCGGUCUACCAGAACACGUUCGACGGUGAGGGAUGAAAGCUGGGGGAGCAAACCGGAUUAGAUACCC
rnacentral:rRNA from 1 species